AAUAAUAUUUUAUUAUGAUUUAGUUUCUGUCCAAUUAUAAACACACACAUAUACACAUAGUCUCUCAAUCAUUACUCUAAAGUUUCUCUGCAGAGAAACUAUUCUCAAUCUCUCUCCUAUCUUUCUUCUACUUUAUUAUUAUUUUAUAUUUUUUAGUUAAUGAGAAACUAUGUGAGAGACUACUGAUGGAGAUGCUCUAAAAUCAUAAACUUGCUCCCACAGACCUUCAUGUAGAUACAUCGGUCAACUGUAACCUCUACAAAACCAUAUGACGUAAUGG
rnacentral:sRNA from 1 species